rnacentral:tRNA from 1 species
GGUUGUAGCUCAGUGGUAGAGCACUUGCCUGGCAUGUGUGAGGCAUUGGGAUCAAUCCUCAGCACCA